GAUGAACGCUAGCGAUAGGCCUAACACAUGCAAGUCGAGGGGCAUCACAUGAAGUAGCAAUACGGAUGGUGGCGACCGGCGCACGGGUGAGUAACACGUAUGCAACCUGCCUUCAACAAGGGGAUAACCCGUUGAAAGACGGACUAAUACCCUAUAACACAGGGGUCCCGCAUGGGAAUAUUUGUUAAAGGACAACCGGUUGAAGAUGGGCAUGCGUUCCAUUAGCUAGUUGGCGGGGUAACGGCCCACCAAGGCAACGAUGGAUAGGGGAACUGAGAGGAAGGUCCCCCACACUGGUACUGAGACACGGACCAGACUCCUACGGGAGGCAGCAGUGAGGAAUAUUGGUCAAUGGACGCAAGUCUGAACCAGCCACGUCGCGUGAAGGAAGACGGCCCUACGGGUUGUAAACUUCUUUUAUACGGGAAUAAAGUGCCCCACGCGUGGGGUUUU
rnacentral:rRNA from 1 species